AUAGGUUUGGUCCUAGCCUUUCUAUUAGCUCU
rnacentral:piRNA from 2 species